GGUAACAGAGACCAAUGCUCAAGGAGACCUUCUGCCACACAAACCUUCAGGACCAAAUUUAACCGGGAUUUUGGCAAUCUGUUAAAAUGAAACAACCACAGAACAUUAACUGUAGUCAGCUCUUGUUUUUGGCAAAAAAGCGUGAGGCUGGAAAAUGUUACCAAAGAAAUUCCCUUCACCAGGGUAAACAUGUAAAGCAGCAAGAACUGGACCAAAGCAGAGAGUCGCUACACCAACUGGAAUACCAGCAGGAUUCAAGAGAAACGGCUUAAUGUGCUGCCCUCCCAGGAACCUGUUUGACUGCUCCUCCAUCUGCAGGGCAGCAAACAGCAAAAGAAGACAGGCCUUCACUCCUCUACAGACAUCUGUUCGUCAGACAAAGGAAACGCGUCCAACUGAAAAUAUUAGAAAAAACGCUCUAGCAUAGAGACUUUCUCAAAAGCACUUUGAGCGACUCUGAUUUGGUUUUUGCUGUUAGUGAAGCAGCUUCAGGUCUGAACCAAAGUUACCAUAUAAUAGUUAGGUUAGACAAAUAAGACUUAAUCAAGUGUAUUCAACAAGUCAAUAAACUUCAUUUUAUUAAUGUA